rnacentral:rRNA from 1 species
UUUAUGGAGAGUUUGAUCCUGGCUCAGGAUGAACGCUGGCGGCGUGCCUAAUACAUGCAAGUCGAGCGAACAGACGAGGAGCUUGCUCCUUUGACGUUAGCGGCGGACGGGUGAGUAACAC